GGACUAGACCUAAUUUUAGUUACCACACACACCUACACCUUGACAACAACCGUUUUUCCCUCAAAAAUAGAUCUGAGAGAGAGCCUACCCCAUCUUCUUCCUUAAACAACAAGAAAAAAACUAGGUCCAAAGAGAACCCGCAAAGGCAGCUGAAUCUCGUCUGCUUCUCCUCCUUCAACAGAGGCAGCUUCCUUUUUCAUCCUUAAAUCACGCCCGAAGCCACUCCAAAUCCAACCGAAAAAGAACUUUAAAAUAAUCCCAAAACCUCAGCCAAACACUACCCUUUUACACCUGAAACCAAGCUCGAAACUAGCUGAAAAAUUAGCCACAAAACCAGUCAAAAACUAGCUUUCAAGCCUUCAUAAACACAGCUGAUAAACACCAUGUAAAUCAGCCACAUAACAGCCUUAAAACUAGCUGCAAAUAGCCAUGAAAUCCCCUCAAAACCCAGCUGCAAACUCACUCCAUAAACCCCCCAAAUCCAGCUUCAUCUCCACCCCAAACCAAGCUGAAAACAGUCACAAAAUUAGCUCUAAAAAGCGACCAAAAUUUCACUAAAACAGUCAAAAAACAGCCACCAAACUGCUAAAAAAUAACUCCCAAAACCCAGCAAAAUCACCUCUAAAAAGCUCUUCAAACACUGUAAAAAACACACCAGUAGUUCUAGCAAAACGCAACAGCGGUUGGUUUCUCAAAUUCCAUUUUCAAAAUCAGUUUUGAAGUCAUUUGAACUUAGUCUAUCAAGGUCGUCGAGGUCCCCCGGUUUGAGGUUCUCGUUUGCUUGAAGAUUCGAUAAUACUUGCAAUUGUAAAGGUUCGAUCUUGUUACAGAUCUAUGUAUAUGCUUGAAUUCUUAAUUUGUUGUUUUGGUUAGAAUUGUUUUACAUCUUUUGAUUAGUUAUUUCCUUAUUACUUCUUUUUCGAUUUGUUUAGCGAGUUCUUUCAUGAGAUUUGCAUAUUGUCGGUUCCCUGUUACUCUUGAUUUGUGAACAAGGUUGCUUUAUUUGGUCAAUUGGAGUUCAUCCUUUGCUAUGUGGUCAUACAUGUUUUAUGGUGCUAUUUGGUUCAUUUUUAAUCGUUGGUAAUUAGUCUACAACAACUCAAGAGUAAUAUGAUUUGUAAAUGAACUCAUUUAUGUGCUUAAUUGUUCACUUUGUUCAUUUAUGCAAACUUAAUGAGUAUUCAAUUGUUGUAAUCUCAUAUUCAGUUAUGUUGAGUUUGGACGCUUGUGUUUGAGGCAUGGUACAUGGUGGCAGAUUACUCUCAUUUGGGGAAAGUUUGUAUGCGCAUGUGAGGGAAAUGAACCUUUACCCUAUACGAUUGAGCUAGUAUUGCAAAGCCCAGUUAUCUUAAUAUUAAGCUGGCCAAUUACGACUCAAAUAGCAUUGGGUCUUUACAUCUAGUCUCAAAUAUAGGAAAAUACCUUAUAAACGUGAUUAUAGUUUGGGUAUACUUUAAAUCGAACUAACUAUUACAAUUAUGUACACGCAUGCGUGACAUAGUUGUGAUGCCAAAAAUAAACCAAGGUAUACGUUCGCGUGACCUUGGUCAAACCUUUUAAUAAAUAAAAUGACUUAAUCAAAUAUUCGUAGAAAUGCUUAAGGCGUGGUUUUUAAAUUACUAUCGUGAUUGCGAUUUUUUCGAAUAAAUUCAAAGUAUGUGUUCGCGCGACUUUGACCAAAACUUUUUUUUCUUAAAUAAACUAAGUGUUAGGAUUUGAAUACACGUACGCGUGACAUGAUUUUUGACACACUAAAACUAAACGAGUAUACAUACGCGUAACUCAUCUUAUGUUAAUUCUUAAAUAUGGAUUAUCAAGUGAUUAAUGGCGGUAAAAAGUAAAAUAAACAUAAGUCCUAAAAUGAGUAAUUAGACAAAAUAAGCCAAGUAUAAAUUUCCAAGCGAUCGUGCUAAAACUACGAAACCCGAGAAUGCCUAACACUUUCUCCCGAUUAACAGAAUUUCUUACCUAGUUUUUCUGGUUUCGCAGACUUUUAAAUGAAGUCAAAUUUUCCUCGAUUUGGGAUUUAAAGUAAACCAGUGACUUGGUACACCAUAAAUUAUUUCAAGUGGCGACUCUGAAAUUAAAUAAAUAACCCCACAUCGAUUAAUGUCACUAAAAUUGGAAAAAACUCUCGUAUAUCCCCCCUCGGGUAAAAAGGAGGUGUGACAGCUCUGGCGACUCUGCUGGGGACAUGUGAACCCAGAAUCUCUGGUUCAGGGUUCAAGAAUUCGAGUUUGUUAAUGUGAUUUUUACUUGGCUUUAUUAAUUAUUGCAUACUGUAUUUUGUGGGCCUAAUGUGCUAAUUGCUGCUUAUUUACCGCUUUGAUAUUAUUUGAACUGUAUUAAACUGUCUUCUUAUGCCUCCCUUCUGAGUUUUCUAAACAAUUGUGCACAUAUUCGUGUGGCCCGCUUUUCUGUUAAAGGUCGUACCAAAUAGAACGAGGAUGGAUCAUCACUAGGACGGGUAGUCUUUCGUGCUCCCGGUACGUCCCUCCCACCUUGGCUCAAGUUGUCCGCUUGGAUAAGCUAGGUCUAGAACACAACCCCUGGUUUAAACCUAGAAUAACAAAACCUCAUGUCGGAUCCCUAGUAGGAACAUUUGUUUGCAUCAUGUGCAUUUGACUUUGGGGACUCAACACAGGGGUUGGGUCCGUCUAGGACAGGUGUACCCGAAAUGAAAUACCAUCUCGAUGCAUCUUAUGUGCUAUUUGUACAUUUAUUUGUUUCGGCUUGUAUGUUGACCAGCUAAGGAAAGAAAUACGACAGAAAAACCAAGAGUGAGGUAGGAUAGAGAAUUCACCUGGUUUUGAAAACCCCGGUAUUUGAAAAUGCCUCAAAAGUCUGCCAAUUUUUUUUUAAAAAAAAGAGAUAGAAAAAGAAAAUGCAUUUCAAAAUGAAAGUGAGUCAAUACCAUAUUUUUCCAAUUGUGUCAAAACUGACCGAACUACGAGGGUCUGAUUCUCACCGGAUAUGAGCUACGUAGCAAACCUAAUCGUUGCUGACCCUAAUGUUUUCAAACCAAAUAAAUAAAAUGCGUCCAUUGGUCAAAAAAUAAAGCCGACCCAAUUUCGGUUAAGUCUUGCACCGUUUUUGCCGGAAUAGCCUUAGAACACAUUACAUUGUCGAAGGGCUAUUUUUGCUAAGAAUGGACAUGUCUGUCAAUAAAUCAUCAGUCUUCCUAGAAAAGUGUCUUACUUCGGCCUUAAAACUUUACCCAAAAUAAGAAGGGGCCACUAUUGCAAAAAUAACCGUUCUGGUUAAUGUUGCACAAAUAGCCACUUUUAGGUGAUUUUUCUUUAAAAAAUUGAAAACCAGUUCUUACAAAAAGAGUUCGCUGGUCUGUCUUGCAAACUAGAGUCAACCCUAACUCUACCCGUUCACAGAUACAGAAUGAAUACCGUCCAGAAUCCACCGUUAAAUAUUAUAGAACAAGCUCUACUACAGCUUCAAAUGUGGUGGCAUGAUUUGGACCAAGAGGGGCAAGACUGGGUAGUUGAACAUCUGGAUGCUCUCAUGGAUAUCAUGAAAGUCAAGCCCCGGAAUGAUCUAAUCAAGGCUUUAGUGACUUUUUGGGAUCCCGUCCGCAAUGUCUUCUACUUCUCGGACUUCAAGCUCACUCCCACCCUAGAGGAAAUAGCUGGGUAUACAGGUUUCAGCAGGGACAUAAGAAAUCAGAAGCUUAUAUUCCUGAGGCCUAUGUCAGUGCGCCAUUUCUUUGAUACUAUGAACAUCAGUAAGCAAAUAAGAAAGAACCGUGUAAGCGAGGGUUGUUGUUCAUUAUACUUCUUGUACUCUAGGUACGGGCAUCCAGAGGGGUUUGAAAUGCAUGAAGAAAGGUUGACCAACAAGCAAAGCAAAGAAACUUGGAAAAUUCACUAUCGUUUUGCCUUCAUAGUAGCAUUUUGGGCGUCAUGGUCUUCCCAAAUGAAAAAGGAACAGUUGAUAUCCGUAGGGCUAAAAUUGCGCAAGUCCUAACUGCUAAGGAAGAUCACAGACUUGCUCCACUAAUCUUGUCGAAUAUCUACCGAGCGCUGACUAAGUGUAAGUAGGGGGCGACAUUCUUCGAAGGUUGCAAUAUCCUUUUACAAAUGUGUCUAAUUGAACACCUUCGCCAUCAUCCAAAAUUUAUGAACUACGGCCCAAGCAAGAGCAACUUCAUUGGAGCAAUAAAGAAAGAGUGAAAGAUUACGACUCUCUGGGAGGGGUCGAAACUUGGAUUGUCCACUUGAGAACUUUAAAGGCAAAUGAAAUUGAGUGGACUUUGAGAUGGCUCCCGGUGAGGGAAGUCAUAUACAUGUCAUCCACAAAGAAUUAUUUGCUAUUAAUUGGCAUGAGGAGUGUCCAACCCUAUGUUCCCCAGAGGGUUCUGAGGCAACUGGAAAGAUAUCAAGUGGUGCCUGAGGAUGAAGACCUGAGUGUCCCAGUCAUUGAACUACACCCCGAAGCCUCAAUUCCCGAGGCUUUAGUCCAACAAAUCUGGGAUGGUUGCCGAUACUUGAAAGAGGAUACCCAAGUGCCUGAUCUUGCAAAAGGUGAAGUAGAUCUGGGAUAUGCCACAUGGUUUGAGAAAAGGGGUUGCAUUAGUGAUGAGCCAGAACCCGAACCUGAAAGGCCUGCCAAAAGGCCUCAUAUCCAAGCUUUUAAUGAUAAAGCCCGAGAACGGUUGGACUGGGGAGAAAAGGAAAAGAAAUAUCAAGUCACCAUCCAUUCCUUAGAGGAAAGGUUGAGGAACCUCAUGUUUGACAAUGACUUACAAGCGCAUGUGGUCGAAGGUGAAAAGAGAAAAUUGACCCGAGAGAACGAGGCGCUCCGAGCCCAACUCUGGGACCUGAGGAUAGCCGCCAAAAUUCCUUUGAGAAGUGAGAAGGAUGGAAAGCUAAUCAACAACCUAAGAUUGAAGAUACAUGACUAUACAGCUGGCUUGACAAAGGCCGAAAGAGAUUUGCUAAACGUUCAAACAAGGUCGGCCAAAUUAGCCCAUCAAUUGAAGCAGAAAUAUGACCAAUAAGUAACAGUUCCGAAGAAAAAGCUAUUUGCCCUUAAAAAUGAAAUGGUCCAGCAAACCAAAGAUUUUAAGACUGAAAAAGAGCAUUUCUACGCAUUAAUUUGCCAACCAGAAAAAAGUGUGCAACAGCUACAAGACCAAAACAACACUGACGCACAAGUUUUGGAAGCCCGAGCACAGCAAAUUGGGCAUUUGCUUCAAUAAAAAGGAAUUAUCAGAACAAUGAUCAAGGAGAUAGCUGACUAUGUCGUGAUGAAAUGUCACGAAUGUGAAGACAUGACUAGAUCUAUGUUUUUUGCUACCAUGAUGACCUUCGUUCGCCAGGUGAUGGAUGACUUAGACUGUCUUCAAGAAGAUAUUGCCAAAAGACCCGCGCAAAGACUGGCUAAUAUCCCGCAGGCUCACAGAGUACUAGUAGAAGCUCUUAUGUACUUUUAAGUUUUCAGUUUGAGUUUGUACUUUAAUUUUUAAGUUGUUUGUUAUUUAUUUCGAGUCUUUAUAGUUCCUUUAAUAGUCAGUUCUUUUAAGUCCCUGUAAUAGAAAAACCAAAAUGAUUUUGUUUAAUGAAAAAUUAAAAAACCCCAAAACUUUCUUGUCUUUUAUUUUGCAUUUAUUUCCGUGAACUACGUAAUGAUCUUAUGCAUGCGUCAUCAUGAUACAUAGAAAAUCCUCAUCGAAUUCGAUCAUAGCUAUAGACAACCUAAGUAAAAAAAUAAACCAAAAGAAGGGAGAGAAAAGAAAAAUCAAAUGAAAAAAAAAAGAAAAAAAAGUGGAGAAAUAAAAAAAGCAAAAGAAAGAAAAAGAUUCACGAUUUGAAAGUUGAUAAAAGAAAUAGCAAGGCCGAGAUGAGACAUACAAUCAUCGCAAACAUUUAGAUACAUUUAACUGUUCAGGUGCAUUACAUCCCCAAUAUGUGAUUCCCUAUGUGCUAAAUGUCACGAACUAACCGGUUUGUUAUGUAUGCUAUUAAGAACAGGUUCUAUUUUAAGUAGUUGGUUUUUGUGGUAAUCUAGUUUCACACCCUUAUUUCACGAGAUCUAAAGGAAGUAUUGCCAUGACAUCAGAAAGUCACCUACUCAUCAUUGAGCCCGAAGAUAGCCCGGUAUCGGUUAUCCAGCAAUCAGAGUCAGCGGCUGCUGAGGAAAAUAGAAGGCUACGAUGCCAUGUGUUAGAAAUGUGGGACGCAUGGUCCAAUGGCAAGGAGCCACCCAGAGCUAUUCCUGGAUUCCCUGAAUUGAUCCAGGACGGGAGGAACUACCAAUGUCCCUAUCCCACUAACCAACCCAUUCAUCCUAUUUGGGUACCCCACCAUGUCGGCCAAUUUCAUCGGUACACCAUCUAAGUUUCGCCCCCAUGCACCGUUUUCAGGAAUAGCAUCUACAGUGUUCACAACACCGCCAACCUCUACUAUGGCGCAACCAACACUACCUCGACAAAGCUUUGAACCAUCAACUUUCACUUUCCAAACACCCCAAUUUCAAUUGGACUCCGCUCGGGUUACCCCAAAUUCCUAUCCUCAGCACCCACAAUGUAAGUCCCCAUAGAACAUGAUAAAUCCGUGAAGAAUCUUGAACAUGAAGAGAUAGCACGGAAAAUGAAAAGCAUCUAGCAAAGCCUCAAGAAUAUACAGGGCCUGAGUGGCCACACGAGCGUUUCCUAUGCUGAUCUGUGCAUGUUCCCUAACGUGCAUUUACUCGUUGGUUUCAAAACGCCAAAGUUCGAAAGAUAUGACGGGCAUGGAGACCCGAUUGCUCACUUAAAGCGAUACUAUAACCAGCUGAGAGGUGCUGGUGGAAAAGAGGAGCUACUCAUGGCUUACUUCGGAGAGAGCCUUGCCGGAAUUGCUUCUGAGUGGAAUAUGGACCAAGAUAUCUCCCAUUGGCACAUAUAGGACGACCUGGCUCAGGAUUUAUAAGGUAGUUUCAAUAUAAUGUGGACAUUGCUCCCGACAGAAAUUCUUUGACUAACUUCAAAAAGAAAGUCUUGAAAAGUUUUCGGGAAUAUGCUAUCAAAUGGCGUGAACAAGCGGCCAAGGUAAAACCACAGAUGGAUGAGGCCGAGAUGGUCAAUGUUUUCUUAUAGGACCAAGUGGCCGACUAUUUCCAAAACACGAUGUCUGCCAUGGGCAAACUAUUUGUGGAGGCCAUAAAGAUUGGAGAAAUGGUAGAAAACGGCCUAAAAACAGGCCACAUCAUAAGUCAAUCAGCUAUAAGAGCCACUUCCCAAGCCAUCCAGAGCGGCUUGGGAGGUUUAGCAAACCGGAAGAAGAAAGAAGAAGGAGCCAUGAUGGCUUCAAGCUCGAGAAACUCUCGUAAGCCCCGGGAUUAUUUUGGUCCCUCUCCCAGGACCCCGCAACAUUACUACCCCCACCAGAAUGCUGCAUAUGUUAUGGCCCCACAUCCUUAUGCGAUGAUGAAUGCUCAACCAUAUGUAUGGUCACAGUAGCAUUAUAACUAAAAUAGAGCUCCACCUCCAAGAAAUAACCCUCAUAACCAAGCUCCAUAUAAUCCUCACCCACCACAGAAUAAUUACCAAUAUAACACACACCCACGUGAACCACCCAGGAAGACUGACUUCACCCCUAUUGGUGAGUCUUAUUCCAGACUAUUUCCAAAGUUAGUCCAAAUGGGUCUGUUGCAGCCUGUACCUCCAAACAGAUAGAAUCCAGAAUCUUCAUCUUACCGACCAGGUACCAUAUGCGUUUAUCACUCAGGGGCGGAAGGGCAUGACACUAAAGACUAUUUGACCCUUAAGAGAGCAAUCGAUAAUCUAAUAGAACAGAAGCGGGUAGUGCUAAGAGACGAGGAAGUCCCCAAUGUAACCAACAACCUAUUAUCGGCUCACAACAAUGGGCCGGUCAUCGGGAUAAUCUGUGAAGACAUAGAAUUCGACCCAGCAUUAAAAGCUAUCAUUUCUAUUGCCGACCCAGGAAAAAAAAUCCAAAGCGGUAGCAAAACUGGAUAAAAAUGAGAAGAAGAUAAAUUCCACUCACCGAAAUGCAGAAAAGGCGGUGGAAACAAAGAUAGGGGCAGCACCUGCCAAAGAUGCCAUUCUUUACGUUCCUAGGGCCCCCAGGAAGGAAAAACUCAUGUUGAGCCUGUCACACCUCCUUUUUGCGCGCCCGCCCCGAGGGGUAAGAUGCGCGGGUGGAGUUUUUCCAAUUUAAGUGACAAUAUUCGAAAUGGGAUUAUUUAUUUAAUUCAGAGUCGCCACUUGGGAAAGGUUUGGCUUUUGGUGUCCCAAGUCACCGGUUUAUCUUGAAUCCCAAAUCGAGGAAAUUUUCGACUUUUUCAAAUGAAGUCUGCGAACCAGAAAUUCUAAGUAAGGAAUUCUGUUGACCCGAGGGAAGGUGUUAGGCACCCUCGAAUCCCGUGGUUCUAGCACGGUCGCUUAAAUUGUUAUAAUGGCAAAAAUAUCGGAUUUAAAUACAUGUUGUGACUUACGUGCUUUUAUUAAGUUUAAAACCGCUUUUAUUAUUAUCAUUUAUUUAUUUUUUAUAGAAUUGCAACGUCAUGAAAAUGCAUUUCGAACACGUCACAAUCAAUGCACCCGUAGUUGUUAACACAUUUCGACUCNNNNNNNNNNNNNNNNNNNNNNNNNNNNNNNNNNNNNNNNNNNNNNNNNNNNNNNNNNNNNNNNNNNNNNNNNNNNNNNNNNNNNNNNNNNNNNNNNNNNNNNNNNNNNNNNNNNNNNNNNNNNNNNNNNNNNNNNNNNNNNNNNNNNNNNNNNNNNNNNNNNNNNNNNNNNNNNNNNNNNNNNNNNNNNNNNNNNNNNNNNNNNNNNNNNNNNNNNNNNNNNNNNNNNNNNNNNNNNNNNNNNNNNNNNNNNNNNNNNNNNNNNNNNNNNNNNNNNNNNNNNNNNNNNNNNNNNNNNNUUAAGUCGCGCCUAGAGAGUCUAGCGCAUUAUUAUUUGUAGGAAGCCAUGAAAUUCACUAAACGGCCUAUCCUGAAUUCUAAAUAUUUAUUAUGAUUAUUUAUUGAGGGCCCCGCAAUUUUGCAUUUUUUAUUUGGCGAGGCUCGUCUCUAUUUAGAAAGGAUAUCCUAAAGUGGCUACAUUUCUACUAUGUUCAGUCUAAAAUAGAAGAAGGAAGAUACAUGUCAAUUCAAGUAUAUGCUUUGGGCCUAAUUCUUAUCAAUUUCUGAUUAAUUAUUUAUAAAGUGAAAAAGACGUCCUACUUUUAUGAGAAAUGUUCUACUUUGACAAAGAAAUUACAUGACAAAUGCUAUGCUCAUAUCCAAAACAUCUCUUGAAUUGAAUUCAAACUAGACUCAUUUAGGCUGGGUUAAGGGAAUUAACCCACUAGGCAUUAUUAUCACUGGAGGUUCGAACGUGCUCCUAUAUACUGCCUAGCGGGUUUUGACGAAAGAAACUAAAAUAAAACAGAACAUCAUUGUGUAAGGUGGAAGUAUCCUAUCCUAUGCAUAUCAUUAUAGCUAAAACAAGAAUCCGGUCAGUCACUAUGUCAAAUAUUUGUACAUUCUACGUACUGCACCAUUACUUAAUUCAUAUCAACAAACAACUAUAAACUAAGAUACAAGAGACUAAAAAUCAGUUAAGUAUUAACUAACUAGAUCUUUUUUUGCUAUUGAAUUACACACUGAUCAAUUUAUACGAAGAAAUCAAUAGACCAUGAGCAUUACAAACAGACAUUUAAACUUCUUGGAACUCCUUUCAUUUCAUGCUUUCGAACUGUUACAGUUUACACCCACAUAGGAUUUGAAAUGUGUACCUGGAAUGCUGAAAUGCAAAGAGGAAGAAGAGAAUAACAUGGAAGAUCAGCAGCAGCAGGAAUCAGAAUAACAGCAGCAAUCGAAACAACAUAGCAGAACAGAUUCUAUUGCAAGAAGUGGAGCUAUAUUUGAAGAGAAA
rnacentral:lncRNA from 1 species